CAGGACCUUGCGCUUUUGGAGCGGCCGAUGUCUGAUUAGCUAGUUGGUGGGGUAAUGGCUUACCAAGGCUUCGAUCAGUAGCUGGUCUGAGAGGACGACCAGCCACACUGGGACUGAGACACGGCCCAGACUCCUACGGGAGGCAGCAGUGGGGAAUUUUGGACAAUGGGGGAAACCCUGAUCCAGCCAUGCCGCGUGAGUGAAGAAGGCCUUCGGGUUGUAAAGCUCUUUCAGCCGGAACGAAAUGGUCAUGGUUAACACCCGUGACAAAUGACGGUACCGGAAGAAGAAGCACCGGCUAACUACGUGCCAGCAGCCGCGGUAAUACGUAGGGUGCAAGCGUUAAUCGGAAUUACUGGGCGUAAAGCGUGCGCAGGCGGUUUUGUAAGUCAGAUGUGAAAUCCCCGGGCUUAACCUGGGAACUGCGUUUGAAA
rnacentral:rRNA from 1 species